UGUAAAUCAACAAUAAAGGAGAUUAAAAGUGGGUGGUUAAAGACAUAUAAAGUGAUAUGGUCUAGUUCAACAACUGCCUGUAUUUUUGGAAUACUGAAGAACAGUCUGUUGUAACAGGUUAAACCCCAUGGAAAGAAUGUGCAUCAUCGCAUCGCCUGCCAAAAAAGGGAGCAAAAAAGAGACUACCUGAUGUAUGGACUUGAAUACCAGGUUUUACCCUGCACAAGCUGGCCGACAUGAGGAGAACAGGAGUGGGAAAACCGCGCCCUCUCCUUGACCAAGAAAAGCUGGAUUUGUUUAGAGGACCUGAUCAAAUGAGAUCAUGCACGAGACGCAUCGCGCAAAGGGC